rnacentral:tRNA from 1 species
GGGCCCUUAGCUCAGCGGUUAGAGCAGCGGACUCAUAAUCCGUCGGUCGCAGGUUCGAAUCCUGCAGGGCCCACCA